rnacentral:rRNA from 1 species
GUCCUUUAGAAUUUAAUUUAAGGUCUAACCUGCCCAAUGAAAGAUUUAAAUGGCCGCAGUAUUUUGACUGUGCAAAGGUAGCAUAAUCAUUAGUUUUUUAAUUGAAAGCUUGUAUGAAGGGUUGGACGAGAUAAAAACUGUCUUAAGUUAAUUUAUUAUAGAAUUUAAUUUUUAAGUUAAAAAGCUUAAAUUUUAUUAAAAGACGAGAAGACCCUAUAGAUCUUUAUAAUUAAUAUUUUAAUUAAAUUUUAGAAUUAUUUAUUAUUUAUAAUAUUAAUUAUUUUAUUGGGGUAAUAUAAAGAUUAAAUUAAUUCUUUAUUUAUUUUUACAUUAAUUUAUGAGUAUUUGAUCCAUUAUUAUUGAUUAUAAGAUUAAGUUACCUUAGGGAUAACAGCGUAAUUUUUUUAGAGAGUUCAUAUCGAUAAAAAAGUUUGCGACCUCGAUGUUGGAUUAAAAAUUAUCUUAGGUGCAGAAGUUUAAGAUUUUGGUCUGUUCGACCAUUAAAUUUUUACA